UAUGAUUACAAAACGUCAGGUAACUAAUAGACAACCAUUUGAGUUUUCCAUGUAAUCGGACAGGGUGAAACAACUGAGCUGAUCACAGCUAGAAGAAGCGGCCGGCGGCCGACUGCUUCUUCCGGAUCAAACCAUGAGCCUUGGCAGACAGGGGUGCUGCACUGGUUGUGAUUGGCUCAGUUAUUUCAUCCAGUCUGAUUAGAUGAAAAACUUUAAUGGAGAUCUAUUAGUAGCUAUCUUAUGUUUUGUAAUAAUAUCUAUUAAAAAAGAAAAAGUCCUCAUUUCACCUUAUUUUCAACGGAAAAACGGAGACAGUGAGUUGACGGUUUUCUGUGCGAGACUUCCGGCGGGUCACUUCCUGUCUUUGACGAGCUUGCUGAAAAGAGACUCGUGCAGCUACGUUGUCUCAAAUUACUCGUAAAUAUGACUUCGAAGAAGACUGGGAUCGUUUGUACGGUUAGAGGUUGUCAUAAUAACUGGUGUAAAAGAAAGGUUUACGUGGAGUGUUUUGAUCAUCAACCGUGAACGAGAGCUGCAGAUACAAAAGACCGACAGAAGACCAACGAUGCCAGAAAAGUGGCUGGGCUACGAAGUUGCAUUAAAAACUCCAAGGUGAUAAAGAGGAGAGCAGAAAGAUGACAGCCACUGUGAUGCAGAGGCAGACCGGACCGCUCCAUAAUCAGUCACCUAUGAAUAAAAAUGCUGUUACUACAGGCACUGAUGAUCACACCUACGAGAAAAGAAGUAGAAGGAUGUAUGUGGCUGGCUUCCAGGAGUAUCUUGGUUCUGGCGAUGAAGUAACGGCAGACAGAGGCUUUACCAUCAGAGAUCUGCUGUUUGAGAGGAGAUUUAACCUUGUUCUACCAGCAUUCACUCAUAAAAGGAGGACGGUUGUCUGAUGAGGAUGUAACUGCCACAAGGAUUGCAGAUGUCCACAUACAUGUGGAAAGAGUUAUCAGGAGGCUUAAAGUUUUCACAAUAAUCUCCCAGACUGUAACCAUCAGCUUCAAUAUAAAAUGGACAAAAUCUUUCGAAUCUGUGCAGCUCCUGUGAACACGCAGGGGGAAUCAUCCACAAGGAUUUUGAUUGAGCGGAGUAGUUUACAUGUCAAAAAGAUCCUGAUUAGUUAUAUUCUACUGUAAAUCAGUGGAAUUAAAAUACACGAGAAUGUGUUUUGGAUCUGUGCUUUUAAAUAUUUCUUUGUUUAGCACCUUCAGGUUUUACAUUUUGGAAUACAUUUUUCAUUUUUAAUAACUUAAGUAUUGUAUAUCCUUAUUUUCAGACUAUUCAGAUGUUUACAUAUACAAAAAUUGUGUUCAACUAAAAUGUGUACAGUUAAAUUUCACUAUCAAUUUGACUUGGUAAUUUAAUUUGCAUUUAUUAAUACUUUGAUCAAGUGGAUGUUGUCCUAAGCACAUGUAACAACCUAAAGGGUAUCUUACGUACAUAAACUGGCAAGAUACAAUAUUUCAUUUAUUAAAUGUAUUAAUUUAUGCCAUUUCUUUACAUUAAAUGUAAUUAAAUUUCACUUUAAAAAUGGUAAAACGUUAAGUUUAAACAUUUCACUUAUUUCAUUUCACUUAUAGCAUAUUUGUAGAUUCGUUGUUGUUUUUUGUUUGUUGUUUAAUUCUUUGUGGUGCAGGAAACAUCCAUCAUUCAGCCUUUUGGGGAUGGCGCUCAUCUGUUCAGGACAAUCCAGUCAGACCAUGGCAAACUGCACCUUUUAACAAAAUUAAAGUAAUUAUUUAUA